AAAGGUGUCUUUGGACUCCUAGUAAUAGUCAUCUUCAUCAUUCCUGCUCUCUCUCUCUCUCUCUCUCUCUCUCUCUCUCUCUCUCUCUCUCUCUCUCUUGCUCUCUCUCUCUCUCUAAGUUGCCUUAUGAAAUAAGGGCACACAGGUAAUAAACAAAGCACUAUAAAAGAUCAGAUUGUGGUAUACCGUGGGCUCAUUUCAUUGUAGGAGCAAGGCAUUCUGCUCACCACUACCACCACCACCACAGCAGAUGCCUCGCCUUCAGUGCUGGGGCUAGAGGGUGAGGUGGGAGGGUGUCACUAUACCCCUCUCUUCCCUCCCCCAAGGCCACAUUAUUUGGAAGGGGCUCUGGGAAGUCCUCUUGGUCAUCUGAUCCACACCAGACAACAACCAGUGUCAGAGGAAAGGAUGUCAGGGGACAGACGGGGACCCUUGGAUGUGCUCAUUUGGAUUUUGGAUUUGACAUUAGUUCCUCAGUUUCAAGCCAUGUGUCAGAUCCAGGUAAUGAGUGAAUUGCAGUUCUUGAAGAAAAAUGAAGACUGAAUUUCCACAUUGCUCAUCAGUAUGCAUUGAAUCCAGAGUUGUCCCUUUCGUGCACACACAUACUUAACAUAAAAAUGUGUACUACUGCUUCUGUAAUUCUGCACAAAAGGGAGAAACAUGGCCAAGCUGGAGAAGGAAGGUCUGCCCUCCAGGUCUUGGUUUUCUGCAGGAAAAGAGGAUGGGGCAUGGCUUGUGGAAAAGAGGAUGGUACAGAUGGAUGGACCAGAGUAAAGAGCCAGAGAGGAGCCUCCUCUCCAGAGAGGAGAAGAGCUAAUACAGAGCCAACAGAGAUCCUGUGAACUACAGGAAUAUUGAAUCAUGAUUAAGAGAAAAAGGAAUAAGUACACAAUGGGAUAACAAAUGCAAAGUUUUUGUCAACUAUGAAGUUAUCGUUAUCAUCCCAUCAUCUUCAUCAUCAAGUCGGCUCAAGUCUCUCAUGGAUUGGAUUGAAUGGAUUAGAAACGAGUCCAACAAUAUGUUGUUUGCAAGAAACACACUUGAAACAGAAAGAUACACGCAUAGGAGCUGGAGUAGAAUCUAUUAUGCUUCAGUAGAAGUAAAAAAGACAAUCAUGAUCUUUUUUUUAAACUUUUUUUUGGGGGGGAGGUUAGGCAAUGGGGUUAAGUGACUUGCCCAGGGUUACACAGCUAGUAAGUGUUAUGUGUCUGAGGCCGGAUUUGAACUCAGGUACUCCUGGCUCCAGGGCGGGUGCUGUAUCCAUUGUGCCACCUAGCUGCCCCAACAAUCAUGAUCUUGCAAAGUAAAAUCAAAAAUAGACCUAAUUAAAAGAAAUAAUUAGGGAAACUACAUUUUGAUAAAAGAUACCAUAGACAAUGAAGUAAUAUCAAAGAGUUUUUCAGCAAGUUUCUCUGAUAAAGGCCGUAUUCCUCAAAUAUAUAGGGAACUGGAUCAAAUUUAUAAAAAUAGGAGGCAUUCCUCAAUUAAUAGAUGGUCAAAAGAUGCAAACAAGCAGUAGUUAGAGGAAGAAAUCAAAGCUAUCUAUAGUCAUAUGAAAAAUGUUCUAAAUCACUAUUGAUUAGAGAAAUGCAAAUUAAAACAGUUCUGAGGUACCACCUCACACCUAUCAGAAAUGACAAAUGCUAGAGGGGAUGAGGGAAAAUAGGUACACUAAUGAAUUGUUGAUGGAGUUGUGAACUGGUGCAAUCAUUCUGGAGAACAAUUCGGAACUAUGCCUAAAGGGCUAAAAAACUGCAUACCUUUGACCCAGCAAUAUCCCUAUUAGGUCUGUAUACCAAAGAGAUCAAAGAAAAAGGAGAAGGACCUAUAUGUCCAAAACUA
rnacentral:lncRNA from 1 species